rnacentral:rRNA from 1 species
GACGAACGCUGGCGGCGUGCUUAACACAUGCAAGUCGAACGGAAAGGCCUGCUUUCCCUUGUGGAUUGCGGGUACUCGAGUGGCGAACGGGUGAGUAACACGUGAGUGAUCUGCCCCCAACUUGGGUAUAAGCCUGGGAAACUGGGUCUAAUUCCCGAUAGGACUGCAGGGUGGUGCCUGUGGUGGAAAACGAUUUUCUAGUGGUUGGGGAUGAGCUCGCGGCCUAUCAGCUUGUUGGUGGGGUAAAGGCCGACCAAGGCGGCGACGGGUAGCCGGCCUGAGAGGGUGGACGGCCACAUUGGGACUGAGAUACGGCCCAGACUCCUACGGGAGGCAGCAGUGGGGAAUAUUGCACAAUGGGCGGAAGCCUGAUGCAGCGACGCCGCGUGGGGGAUGACGGCCUUCGGGUUGUAAACUCCUUUCGACCGCGAGGAAGCCACCUGGUUGGAAGGGUGGUGACGGUAGUGGUAGAAGAAGCACCGGCUAACUACGUG